rnacentral:tRNA from 1 species
GCUCUAAUAUAAAAAUGAUUUGUAAUCAUUAUUAAGAUUAAUUCUAUAGAGUA